UUAGUUGCAGGGUAUAGACCCGAAACCCGGUGAUCUAGCCAUGGGCAGGUUGAAGGUUGGGUAACACUAACUGGAGGACCGAACCGACUAAUGUUGAAAAAUUAGCGGAUGACUUGUGGCUGGGGGUGAAAGGCCAAUCAAACCGGGAGAUAGCUGGUUCUCCCCGAAAGCUAUUUAGGUAGCGCCUCGUGAAUUCAUCUCCGGGGGUAGAGCACUGUUUCGGCUAGGGGGUCAUCCCGACUUACCAACCCGAUGCAAACUGCGAAUACCGGAGAAUGUUAUCACGGGAGACACACGGCGGGUGCUAACGUUCGUCGUGAAGAGGGAAACAACCCAGACCGCCGGCUAAGGUCCCAAAGUCAUAAUUAAGUGGGAAACGAAGUGGGAAGGCUCAGACAGCCAGGAUGUUGGCUUAGAAGCAGCCAUCAUUUAAAGAAAGCGUAAUAGCUCACUGGUCGAGUCGGCCUGCGCGGAAGAUGUAACGGGGCUAAAUUAUGCACCGAAGCCGCGGCAGCGAUAUGUAAAUAUUGUUGGGUAGGGGAGCGUUCUGUAAGCCUGUGAAGGUGGCCUGUGAGGGUUGCUGGAGGUAUCAGAAGUGCGAAUGCUGACAUAAGUAACGAUAAUGCGGGUGAAAAACCCGCACGCCGGAAGACCAAGGGUUCCUGUCCAACGUUAAUCGGGGCAGGGUGAGUCGACCCCUAAGGCGAGGCUGAAAAGCGUAGUCGAUGGGCAACGGGUUAAUAUUCCCGUACUGGUGGUAACUGCGAAGGGGGGACGGAGAAAGCUAAAUCAUCCGGGCGACGGUUGUCCCGGUUUAAGCGUGCAGGUGGACUGACCAGGCAAAUCCGGUCGGUUGUUAACACUGAGGCGUGACGACGAGCCACUACGGUGGUGAAGUGAUUGAUGCUCUGCUUCCGGGAAAAGCCUCUAAGCUCCAGGUUACCAUUAAUCGUACCCCAAACCGACACAGGUGGUCAGGUAGAGAAUACUCAGGCGCUUGAGAGAACUCGGGUGAAGGAACUAGGCAAAAUGGUGCCGUAACUUCGGGAGAAGGCACGCUGGCACUAGGUGAAGUGGUUUACCCAUGGAGCUGAAGCCAGCCGCAGAUACCAGCUGGCUGCAACUGUUUAUUAAAAACACAGCACUGUGCAAACACGAAAGUGGACGUAUACGGUGUGACGCCUGCCCGGUGCCGGAAGGUUAAUUGAUGAGGUCAGCCGCAAGGCGAAGCUUCUGAUCGAAGCCCCGGUAAACGGCGGCCGUAACUAUAACGGUCCUAAGGUAGCGAAAUUCCUUGUCGGGUAAGUUCCGACCUGCACGAAUGGCGUAAUGAUGGCCAGGCUGUCUCCACCCGAGACUCAGUGAAAUUGAACUCGCUGUGAAGAUGCAGUGUACCCGCGGCAAGACGGAAAGACCCCGUGAACCUUUACUAUAGCUUGACACUGAACAUUGAGCCUUGAUGUGUAGGAUAGGUGGGAGGCAACGAAGUGUGGACGCCAGUCUGCACGGAGCCAUCCUUGAAAUACCACCCUUUAACGUUUGAUGUUCUAACCCGGGUCCAUAAUCUGGAUCGGGGACCGUGUCUGGUGGGUAGUUUGACUGGGGCGGUCUCCUCCCAAAGAGUAACGGAGGAGCACGAAGGUUGGCUAAGCAUGGUCGGACAUCAUGCGGUUAGUGCAAAGGCAUAAGCCAGCUUGACUGCGAGAGUGACGGCUCGAGCAGGUACGAAAGUAGGUCUUAGUGAUCCGGUGGUUCUGAAUGGAAGGGCCAUCGCUCAACGGAUAAAAGGUACUCCGGGGAUAACAGGCUGAUACCGCCCAAGAGUUCAUAUCGACGGCGGUGUUUGGCACCUCGAUGUCGGCUCAUCACAUCCUGGGGCUGAAGUAGGUCCCAAGGGUAUGGCUGUUCGCCAUUUAAAGUGGUACGCGAGCUGGGUUUAGAACGUCGUGAGACAGUUCGGUCCCUAUCUGCCGUGGGCGCUGGAAGAUUGAGAGGGGUUGCUCCUAGUACGAGAGGACCGGAGUGAACGCACCACUGGUGUACGGGUUGUGAUGCCAAUUGCAUUGCCCGGUAGCUAAGUGCGGAAGAGAUAACCGCUGAAAGCAUCUAAGCGGGAAACUUGCCUCGAGAUGAGUCUUCCCUGAUUCU
rnacentral:rRNA from 1 species